AGGAGUGUCGCUUCCAGCCACACAGCAAACUACCCCAUACCCGACAAACAACAAGUGAAUCAGAGAUCUCCCCCUGUCCCAAUGCUCUAGACACUUACAGCUCCAACACUUGGCAAAGCGCACCACUGCAGGCUGAAUUAGUGGAAGGAGCUUUAUGUUCAUACAUGUGGAAUUUCAUCAUAGCAAUUCAAUAAAGGUUGUAAUGGUCCUUGAAUGGCUGCUAGGACCCGUGCAGUUCAUACCUCAGCACUAAAGCAGGAGACGGGUUGGUCUAAGGUCCCGUUGCGAGGCACUGGUAGAUAAAGCACACUCCAGGUAAAAGCAUGCAUGGCCACUCACCAUUAGAUCACUCCACAUGAUGUCUCGAAGAUGGCGCUCUUAAUUAGAAGGUCCUUGGAUCUCGCUGUCUAAAGUCACAUUUUACUGCCCACAUUACCACUUUAUAUAACACAGUUCAUCCCGAGCUGAGUCGAAACAUCGCCGGGAUGAACAGUUUAUUAUGAAUAUAAGCUGUAAUUGACACUACUUUGGAGUUACUUUAUGGCUUCAUGUUGAACCCAGCAUUGCCUGCGCUGUCUUUGACGAUUAGCCUGUUACUCACCUGUACUUCAUCCCCCAGACAAUGGCCUGUUCUGCUCAUGCAGAUGAUGGUGUGCAAUAUCAAAGCCAAAUGAGAUGGCUGCCAAUUAGGGAGGGCUUCCAAGUGCAUUUCAAUGCAAACGCGCACUGGUAAGUGCACCCUGUAGUCUUUUCCAUUCAAAGACACUUUAUUACAGGUAGACUUCAACAGAAACUUCUGAAAGUAUUUCAAUUACUAGAAUAAAUGACAGACCUCAUUUCAAUACUUGGCUUUGGGGAAGGGGUGAACUUUGUAAUGAUGUCUUCCUAAAUGUUCUAAGCUGGAGUUUAAACGGACUUUCUCUUUGGUUAACGGUGUGAGUUAACUGGAAAAUUCAUAUAAUCCUUUUUUCUGUGUUCUUGAUGGACAAGGCUUGAAACGCCUGAAACAGUGUGAGACCACAGAAAUAUUUAGAGUACCCCCACAAUCCCCACAGGACUUUUUUUCUUGCGUUCACGAUGUCUCUGUACAGAUGUCUCUGAGUUUAAAUAACCAAAGUUUACAGUGGUUACAUGUCUUACCAGGCAGUGUUUAUUUCUGUUUCCUAUUUAGUGCUCGGUGUAAAAUUAACUAGUGCAUCCUACUAAAAGUGCAACGCUUUUGUCUGUACCUAAGCCCUUUUAUCUAACAUUCACACUGUCUGACGGACUCCUUGGGCAGCUCUGCAUUCAGUAUUUUGCCCAAGGAUACUUUGACACAUGGGCUGUAGGAUGAAAAGAUGGUCCAAUAAAUGUUUCCCAAAUGAUUUUUUAAAAUGCCACACAUUGCCUUUUAAGCAUUAUUGUAGCAAUAUAUCAGGAUUUCCUCUUUUAAACACCUUUUAAUCAGAACAGGUUGGGUUAAGACGGCCAAAAAGUGUCUCCCUCUGAGUGUGUUUCCUGAAUCCGCAAAAGCGCAUCGGUGCACCACAGUGGCCUUUGAAUCCAAAUUUUUAGUUAUUAUUCAGAUUAAAUCAAGUCGGGGCAGACGGGAAGAGCAGUCAGAAGAAGCUCACUGCUCGAAAUCUCGAAGCUCUACCUCUGUGAUUGCUCAGGCCACCGUGGAAUAAAGAUUAGAAGAAAAUCACUAAUCACAGCGGAUGUCAUUAGCAUAUUACCAAUAAGGGGUUGCAAAAAGGAAAAGAGGAAUUGCCUUAUAAUGCUGGUUAAAGUACGAAUCAAUGCCAUGUAUGGAUGCACACAGCUGCUUGACAAACAGAUAUAUUCACUUCCAAACAUGGGUAAAGGAAGUGUCUAAUAAUGAUGUUUUUUUCAAUGUUUUUGUCUGAGUCACUCGCUGAAGCACUUGAUGCUAAUAUCACAUUCCCCCUCUCUCUUUUGAUCAGCUUUUGCAGCUGGGCUGCCCUGCCUCACUUGGAUGCAUCAACAAAGCUUGAAGUGGCCACUCUAAUCUGGUUAAGUAUUGCCUGGUUGGGGAGAAAUUAGCCGAAUUCUUUUAACUUUUCAAACAAACAUAAUACAGUCAAACUUGCUGGAUGAGAAUCAAUUACAUGAACUGAAUAUAGGUUCGGGGGGGAGAUAUCAUUUCAUUUCUGGAAAUCAUCUAAUACGUCUAUUCAGUGGAAUAUGCCUGUAGUAUCACAUCGAAGCCAUAUUUCAGUCCAGUGAAAUGAAUGAAGCAGUGGAGUAUCUGUUGAAACACUGCCAGAAUAUGUUACACAAAUCUUUUUCACCCCGUGGUAAUAUUGCCAUUAUCUGCUUUACUUCAAAAAUACUUAUAUCUUGCCUAAAUCCGCGAGACACUGUGAGGAAUAAUGGGAUCAUCAUGCUUUCUCAAAGUGAUUGGUUGGAUUGGUGAAUAGAAACUAUUGCCCUACUUGUGUCAGUCUAUUAAACAACAUCUGUCUAAAUAGAAAAAAACAGAAAGCUAAUGUUAUUCAGUAGAACGCAAUAAAUCUUCCAAAAGUGCGAUACCUUUGUGUCACAUGUAUAAAUUCUGCAGUAUACUUUUACAAAGUUGUUGAUACUAAAUCAUGUUGGAAAUCCUCGAUAUAGAGUGGAAACCACUCUAACAGCAUAAUUCUGAUUUAAUAGGUGACAGUUUCACUAGACAUUGAGCUAUAGUUUUGCAUUUAACACUAAGAAUAUCCAUCUAUGUACCUGUCAAGCUAUUGUUUCUGUAGAUUAAUUGCAGCGAUAGUAAAAAUAAAAUACUUUUGUUAGACUUUGCUAUAAGCGACUUCUUUUAAAAUCAAGGAAAAAAAACAAAAAUGAAUUCUUUUAUUCUUGACGUGCCUAACAGAUGGUUUCGAGGGGAAAAAGAAUAUGAUCACAAUACAGACAUUUCUGUUGUAUUGAACAUUUUCUCCCAUUAGAUCUUUAAGGCAGAUUGUCUCCAUUUUUCAAUGUGUCUAAAGCCUUUGUUUGAGAGAGAUCCGUUAAAUCUGUCUUGCUUCUAAUAAACUGCCAUUAUUCCCUUCAACAAGGCAGCUCUCAUUAAUAAUGCUUCUGUCAGCUGCUCAUUCUCUUCCGUGAAAAUAGAAAAUAUCAUUAAUUACAGUUUCUGUCACCCUCUGACAGCUUAAGCAAUUGUUCUAGUCCCUGAGUUCUGUUUCAUUGUGCCCAUACCUUGUGACCACCUAUUCUUUACUGUCUCAAUGGGGAUGUCCAGCAAGUGAGAGCCACAAAGGCCCUGCGAGAUUUCAUCGCACAUUGCAAAGCUUCUAUCCCAGCAACACAUUAGUCAUCCGGGGAGCGAUUGACUCAGGACGUAGACUCAAAAUCUAGUUUUUAUUUUACUCUCAAGCAGAGAUUAGGGAAAGAUUGGUUCGGUUUACUUUUCAUUGUGGAUUUGUUGCAUUUUUGCCACUCUGAGAGAUAUUCUCCCUGGAUAAACAUAGAGGGAUUUUCCUAUUCAAUUCAUCAACUGGGGAAAGGAAGAGAAAAAAUCAUUGACUUAAGAUUGCAGCUGCCGAAUGUAGACAAGAGAACUGUUGCACAAAUACACAAGGAUCUCGUUGCGUGUGAAAAAUGGCCCGCGCGAAUAGAAGGAAACAUUUGCAGGACAACUCUCCCAACAUAACUGCACACUGUGUUAACAGAGGGAGAUGCUUGAAUUUCUUAGAUUUACAAUAUGUAAACUACAGAGAAGCCAACAAUCACACACCGGCUGUUCCCCAGAGUGCUGCCAUGUCAGAAAAAUAUUUGGUUUGAUCCGAGUUUCAGCUUUUCUUCAGCAAACUUAGUAAUGAAGCUACAACACAUUAGUCAUAAAUUCAGACCAGAUAUGAGUCUAUUAAGUCUAUCAAAUACCCAUUAAGUUGUUGUGUAGCGUUGGGUUAUAGCGAGACGUAUCAGCCUCCAUGCAGAGCUCAUUUCAGUUUGUUUAUGUGUCUCUGGAUUGGCUACAGGGGGCAAAAUAAGCACAAACACAAAUGGCUGUACAACACAGUUUGGCAAAUUCAGUUUGAAGAAUUGCUUUGAUCUUGUCAUCUGAUCCCAGUAAAGUCAUAUUUGGAUGACACCACAGCAAUUAUAAUGCAUUUAACCUGUAAAUAUUAUAUAUAUAAAUAUAAAAUGAUUACAUAGCUAGCAAUGUAAUAAGCCACACUCUGUGCACGUAAAGCAUAGCAGGGAAUUUAGGUCCAUUGCACAAUAAAAAUCACUAUGAAUAAAAUGUAAAAGUACUAAUUAAGUAUUAAUUGGUAGGUACAAGGAGAAUUUUUCUUUGCAUCUAUCACAAGGUUUAGGUAUAUAAAUAUGUCUGUGUGUGCGUGUCAAAGUUAAUAAUGCACUUAAAUCUAUCAAGAUCAUGAAUCCACAUGCAUCUAUUUGAAGUUACUGUCCUAAAUAAACAUAUAUGGCUGUAACAAUUUCUGUGAGCCCAAAGAAAGGCAUUAUGUCUUUGGGAUUAUCUAUAGGUGCUUCAAUGCAUUUUUGUUUUUUACAAAAAUGCUGUGCGGCGAAAUUAACGGUGAUAACUAUGAAAGGAAGUGUGAUUAAUAAACAACACGAGGCUAAAAUUAAACCGCACACUCGAAGAAAAAGUAGAUGUUCUUCAAAAGCUUUUCAAGGAAUAUCUACAUUCAUGUGCUGUUCAUUAUUCAUUUGCAGUUCAAGAAAAAGCCAGAGAAUUCAUUUUAUAUUCUGCGGCUGCGAUAAACCGUAUUAAUGGAUUAGCUGUCGAGAUACCAUACUGUUUCUUAAGUUAUUGCUGAAAUAUUCUUUCACAUAUUCUGUCAAACACCGGAUUAUAUGACACAAUAACUUGGACCUUGGUUAAAGUUUCCCAUGAUUGAUAUGCUUUGAAGAAUAUGAUACCAGACCCCAUACAUGGAUGUAAUUAAACAAGGCCAAGUGAUAGCAAUAAUGUAUCAUCCACUAGAGCUGAGGUCCCAGCUUCCUACAAACCAGUGUUACCAGAGACAAAUGACUUACAGCAGUCACCACCAUCGCUUUUAACUUUGCAUGGUGCAGACACAAAGAGAGAAUUCCUCCCUAACAGUGGUGGCCUGGCCUAGACAAAUGGACAGUCAUAAUCCCCCCCCAACUGGUAGGGAAUGUGGUUUAUUAGAAUAUGAUACAGUGGAUGUGAAUUUCUCUUUUUUAGCAGUUCUGAUUUAGUUUCCAGCUGAUUCAUCACCACACACAAGUCAUACGUGACAGCUUUUACUGUUUUGGGAGCAGCUUAGCCAUCUUGGAGCUACCGCCUUCAUAGUUGGGUAAGCUGUUUUUCACGGGGAGUCUGAUAUUUAUUACAACUGCCUGCUUGGGACCCCCCUGUGAGAAGGAACCAUAGUGUGUAGAUAUAAGUAGGGCACAGGAUUCUGUGUAAUUAAGUUGGUGGAAAUGCACCGUGGAUUUAACGAAGGGGAAAUGUGCAUUUUUGAGCGUCCUAAAUUAAGCCACUUAUUCUGAUAUUUAUUGGCAAACGCUGUUUAUCUAUUCUGUUACAGGAAACUCUGUUUGGGCCAUGCAUACAGGAACUGCUGACACGGAAAGAUUUAGCUAUGAUUGCAUAUCAUUACAUGAAUAAAAUAUGCAUAUGAUUACAUGAAAAAGUUUGUUCAAUGAUUCUUCAAUUUGGGUUUGUUGGGAUAGAAGGAGGAGGGGGCGCACAGCAGGCUUUGUCAAUAGCUUACAAAGUAAUAGGUUGAUGACCUGGGUUAAUAAUUAACACCAAAAUUACAAAAUGCAGUUUGGUAAUUUUUCAAUAGAGAACUGCAUAGCUUCAUGGUUAACAUAAGCUUUCAGACACUGAGAAAGAAUAAUAAGAACUACAAUAAUUGCACUUAUAACUUCUUGCUUCUUUGUGCUCUCCAUUGUCGUGCACGUUCUCCUGACUCUUGGGGCUUCAAAACACGUUUCCUUUUUAUCUCAUACGUUCUGGUCAUUUUCUUGAAACAGUAAGGACCUGCGGUGGUAAGAAAAUCAUUUAUGACUUCCUAUGUCCUGGCCAGUCCUCCAGGGCUCCUGCACAGUGUCAGGGGAAUGUAGAUGAGCCCACCUCAGCAGACUCUUUUUUGCCAUUUUGUUUUUUCAAUAGACCUGCAGAUGGGUUCUUGUGCACUCAGACCCCCAGCGGGACCCUUUAUCCUUGCUCUAAAAAUGACCAUCUGAGCUCCUCAUCAUAGACAGUUCAAGCGAGGCUGAGGCCUUUUUUCAACCCCUCAUGUUUCUGUUGCCCAGAAACAUUUCUGAUUUACAUGUACUGCUCAAAAUUAAACAUUAUUCAUCUGUUUUUUUAAUGUGUCAUCUUUGUCACUGAAUCUGCGCUUGACGUUUUGUGCAGGGAAUUCACACACAAAAGAUUUAUGUUGUAAUUACUUGAGCAUAAUUACCGAGGAAUCAGUUAAUCAGCAUAAAUUAACAAACCAAAUAGUUUGAAACAUGUACACGAGGAAUACACAUACUAUCCAUUAUUAUGAAAAACAUGAAUCCAGGGUGCUCAAAAAAUUGUUUGAAAUAAAAUCGACAUUACUCUUGGGAGCAGAAAGUUUCCAGAACAGUCAGUCCAAUUACAAGCAGGAAGAUAUUUUCUUCUUUGUGUUGUUUGUGUUGUGUGCUUUGUUUCCUACAAGCAUACUUUAAGAAAACAUUUGUAGCUACACAACAUGAGCAGAUCUUUUACUUCAGAAUAUAGGAGCAAGGAUUCUAACCAAACCUUUAAUUUAUUCAACUUAUUAAACAUUUAUCUUUAUAUUUUUUUUCUGUGUCCACAUUAAAAACACAAAGUACAACAUGCAAAGGUUCUGUCCUGAGCCCAAUUCUUACUAAACGUGACUUACACCAUUAUACCAUCAUGUGUCAAACAAUACUUACUAUUGAAAGUCAUCCACCAUGUACCUAAUUCCUAUUUUGUGGAAAGGCUGAAGCCUGUCCCUGGAUGAAAGGAGAAAAGCACCUGCCAAUCCAUCACUGUGCUACCCUGCAGUAGACAGAUCCACAUUUGUGCUACAGGCAGUUUAUUGUCUCCAGUUAACCUGAGCUGCAUGUCUUUGGACUGUGGGGAGAAACUGGAGCACCUGGAGGAAAUAUGCACAGACACGGGGACAAAUAUGUGAACCUCUCUGCUAUAAAGUGACAGUAGUACUAAACCCUGUGGCUUCCCCAGUGAAAUCCAGGCUAAUGCUGAUAUUUUACAGCAGCAGCUACGCAGAGCGCACUGAGAUUCUGUGCUUAUGCACAAAUUAUGGGAUUUGUUAAUGUCUGCCUAAAAACAGGUGCAACCGUUAGAUGGAAAAGGACGAGUAGGAGGCCACGUGUAAGGAAACAUUCAGGGUGGAGCUCAUUCAUUAAAAUCAAAAAACCCAAAAAGUGACUUUCGGUUAUAUUUACUCUAACGGUGCAUUGUGUUAUUGAUAAGAAGGGAAGAGGGGGGCUUUACAUAAUAAGGGAGGAAUAUUUUGUCUGAUGCUAUGUUCUAAUACAUCACAAUAUGCUAGGAUUACAACUGACUUCAUCUUGAAGUAGACUUUUUGUCCUUCUUUUGCAGAUUAUAGAAUGAUCUUGUGGAAGGGAUUAAGGAUAUUUGUAGACUGUGAUUAAACCCUGAAUUUUAGAUGCUCAGAAGGAGGUUGGGCCCAAAGAGGCUCGUGUUGGGAGUCAGUGCAUUUUAUAGCGAGAGCGUCUGUGGCACUUUGUGAAUUUUACAUGCAAAACAUAUAUAUAACAUAUGGAAAAGUGACAACUACUUGUGGUAAUUACAGGAAAGCGCCCCGCCCCGCCAGAAAUAUUAGUUCCCAUGAAUCAGUGUUUGAUCAUUUUGAUACUGGGCGUUAAACAUUCCUUACUGAGGUUAAAGUUAUUAAAUACUAAUCAAACAUGAAAACUAAGCACAGAAUAUUAACUUUAAUCUCUGUACCUACUCAGGAAUUUUCCUUUAAGAAUAUUGAAUGUGUAAGUGUGUUAGCUUUACAAAUGUGGCUCAGCAUAAGAAUAGAUUUCACUCAGCAUAAUUUCUCUUUCUAAAUCACAUAUUGCAUGAAUAUGUUUCCUUUAGAUUACAGUUAACAAGCUCUGUGUGUGGCUGAGGUUACUGCUUAUGUGCUCUGACAAGGUGCUGUUUGCAGUUUCUCCCAAAGGAGGCUGAGCACUCUGGAUUACAAGCAAGGCUAGCGUUUAGCUGCCACCCCAGACAACAUGACUCAUAAGCUCUAAAGAGCUGCCACAUAUGUCUGCAUCAUAAGUCCAUUUGUGAUAUGACAACAUGACCUUUGGAUUGAGGCCCAUCUGUUCUGCUUCAAAUGUUUAGGAGAAUUGCUUUGUGUUUGCACCGACUCAAGUUUUAGAAAAUGUACAAACAACCAUCUUUAAAAAAAGAAAAGAUCUAAUCCUCAGUGGAAGCUUUAACAAGCAGUAAAUCCAAGAACACUGCGGUGUACUACAUGUUCAUUUUUCAUCAUAUUUCAUUUUGCUCUGCCUUCUUGGAUUAAAUAUUUGAUCAUUUUCAGUGUAGUUGUGUUUCACUGUAUUUUUGUUCCAGAAUAAUUCUGAAUUUGAAGGUCCUUGUUGUUCAUUUUAUAUACAUCUUGGUAUUAAUUUAUGUAAAGCAAUUUGUUCAUACAUUUUUUAACAUCUUGAAAGAUCUGCUUCAGAUGUGUACUUACAUGGGCUGUCUGAGAACUACACCGUGCGCUCCGAUCAUCUGUUGUAUGUUGGAUACUUUGCUGCUCUUGUUAAUGAAGAUAAUUCUCUAUAACAUGUCCUCAUUUUUUAGGGUUGUAAAUAAAUUUAUGGCAAGAAUCGUUCAUCACAGAUUCUGUGUCCACUUACUUCUGAUUGAAAAUUGGAGUCAACUUUAUUACUUUCAUCAGCUCAUCUUCGCUCCGUCAGGCUGCUGCUGCUAGGAAAGUAUUAAGGUGAUUAGGUUGCGUAAAAAGGCAAAGAAGAGCUCGAGCUUCCUCCAAAAACCUCCGAGAGGAACUACAGAGUUGGAAGAUUGCAAAUGAUUUGACUUUACAAGUCACUUGGUGAGUUUUUUAAAAAUGUUUUGUACAUUCAUAACAUUGUAUUUAUAACAACUGUAUUUCUCACCCACAUAUUCUGUUCCACUAGUUAUUAUUUUACUGUGACUUUAAAAUUUGUUGUGGUGUUGCAUUUAUGCAGGCCUGUCUGUGAAUUAUUUAGUAAUCCUUCAAAGACUUUAAAGAUUAACCGCAUUCUAAAUAAUCUACAAAAUAGCGACGAUAAGACCCAAGAGUGGGAUGCACUGGAGCAACUGGGCACCUGAGCAAGCUUCAAUUCAGACGGGACCUUCCUGUUAGUUUUCUGCCUGUGCGUGUGAACGUCCAUCCAACUACACUCCUAUACAUACAAUACAUAUCAUAAUUAGGUCUAUGGUGACUGUGCUGUAUUAUAUAACUGGACUAGGAAAUGAGCCUGCAUGAUGUUUUAUGUUUUAUGACAAGACCAGAGUGGCUCUGGCUCUCCUCCACACCGUGUCUUUGUCCUUUCUUCACCGCUCUCAGCAGAUGGCCCCGCCCCUCCCUGAGCCUGGUUCUGCUAGAUUCCUUCCUGUUAAAAGGGGGUUUUUGCUUCCCACUGUUGCCAAAGAAUUUGCCCAUAGGGGGUCUUAACACCUCUACCUUAAAAUAUAAAGCGACUUGAGGUAUCGAUUGUUGUGAUUUGGCAAUAUGUAAAUAAAACAAAUUAAACUAACUUGUCAAUGAUUCUAUUUAUUGAAUCAGUGCAAAGAAAACCAAGACACUUAAACGAGAGGCAUGGAACUGGUUAGGUGUUGUUAAAAAUACACAGCUGACAAUAAAACAACUACAAAUCCAAAGAUUAAAAUAAAAGAAGGUAGCAUUGGUACUGUAAAAAAUCAAAAUGCAUAGAGGCAAACAGAGAAACUGUAAAUAAAUCAAGACCUUCAAAGCCGUCGUGACACCACUGCAGCAGUGGAAAGAUGUUUUUUUUACCAUCUGCCACAAUUAGUCACCCGCACAACUACACAAAAUAUAAAAAAGAGUUACCUUAGCUGCACAUAACUCUCAUAGCCUGCGUCCAGCAUGAGGAAUUAUUUUAUGACAUGCUGUAUACAAAAGUAAUUGGAAACAUUACUGAAACAAAUUUAAUAUUUAAAUUACACCACACUCACAAUCAUAACACCAGAACACUGAGAGAGACCGUGCAGCCCUGUAGUGCUAUUCAUCAGUGGAAGGAGGUAAGAAGCUUUGUGUUUGGCAUUUAUGCCUAAUAUGCUACAGACUUAAUUCAAGGUGGACAUAAAAAACUACACCUUCUUGCAGGUUGCAUGGCUAGGUAACUAGUUAUACAUGGUUAUGGUGUAAUCAGUUAUCGCGGGUUUUAACCUAGCAACAACCUCUGUGUGUCCACACAUACACAGGCAUUUUUUUAAAGAGGGGUUUUGCCAGCCCUGAGACUGGCGAUGUGCCCAGGCUGUACCAUGCCUCCUGCACUAUGAUAGCUGGGAUAGGCUCCAGCUUAACUGCAACCCUGAAUUGGUUGGAUGGA